rnacentral:ncRNA from 1 species
CCGGGGGCCCUAGGUGCCCCCGGUGGCCGUCGUCGGCACGGCCGGUACCCGCGCGCCUAAAGGCGUGUCCCUCGGGGCACUGCGCUGCAACGGCCUGCGGGCUCCCCAUCCGACCCGUCUUGAAACACGGACCAAGGAGUCUGACAUGCGUGCGAGUCGACGGGUUCUGAAACCUGGGAUGCGCAAGGAAGCUGACGAGUGGGAGGCCCUCACGGGCCGCACCGCUGGCCGACCCUGAUCUUCUGUGAAGGGUUCGAGUUGGAGCACGCCUGUCGGGACCCGAAAGAUGGUGAACUAUGCCUGAGCGGGUGAAGCCAGAGGAAACUCUGGUGGAGGCUCGAAGCGAUACUGACGUGCAAAUCGUUCGUCUGACUUGGGUAUAGGGGCGAAAGACUAAUCGCACCAUCUAGUAGCUGGUUCCCUCCGAAGUUUCCCUCGGUAUAGCUGGAGCCCAUUACGAGUUCUAUCAGGUAAAGCCAAUGAUUAGAGGCAUUGGGGACGCAACGUCCUCGACCUAUUCUCAAACUUUAAAUAGGUAGGAUGGCGCGGCUGCUUCGGUGAGCCGUGCCAUGGAAUCGGGUGCUCCAAGUGGGCCAUUUUUGGUAAGCAGAACUGGCGAUGCGGGAUGAACCGGAAG